GGAGCAGCCAGUGUAUCGCGGGACAUGGUAGCGUGUGGACGUACGUUCCGGCGCAGCGUAUCCCUCAGUUGACUGUACAGUGGUAGCGGGUGCGCGCGUGUCUCGAGGCUGAAUGAGACCGAUGCAUACUAGAUGAGGAUAGGUCUAUAACUAUGCUCACCUACUGAACAAAAGUGAAAAUAAACUAGAAUGGAAAAUCGUUGUGAUAGUGAAAUGUGAUAUACGUAAAAAAGGAAGGAGUGAGAGAUAAAGAGAAAAGAAGAAAGAAAGAAAGAAAAAAGAGAAUCUAUAUGCAUGUAAAAAUAUGAGAACGCUAUUUCACAGAAUUGAAAACUGCGUCGUGGAAAAUUACACGAGCUGACCAGAGCAUCCAGACAGGGCCGUCGUCCGAAUCCUCAGCCGAGGUGAAUAGCCAGACGACUUGAUGGAUAGGCAGGAGACCCUAGCUGCCUCCAGUGGGUCCAAAGGUAAGCGAAGGAUGACGUGUUUUUGGUUACACUUGGUGAGUGGACGAAUCUAGCUUGUUAUUUCACUUUUCAGGCGUUAUUUACACUUAUUAUUUUCUCUAAAAUCCAGCGUGAGUUUGUGUUUACUGUUUUAUAAUGGCAUAUAGGCUUAUGUGUUUAAGUAACGGUGGAGUUCAUCUUUAGUCAGUAAUUUGCCUUAUAGGUACGAAAUUGAAAAUAGAUACGACUUAUGUAGUCAUGUGGUGUACAAAAAUGAUACGGCUAACAAUUACUGAAAAUACCUUUUAUUGUUUUGAUUAAGAUUACUGCAACAGUAUAGCAAUAAUGGUAAUAAUGAUAUCAUUAAAAAAGAAUAUGAUAUUUGUGACCAUAAUGAUUAUAACAAA